GAUUAACGCUGGCGGCGUGCAUAACACAUGCAAGUCGAACGAUGAAACUUAAAUGAUUUCUUCGGAAUGAACUUAAGUGGGUUAGUGGCGGACGGGUGAGUAACGCGUGAGUAACCUGCCUUACACAAGGGGAUAGCCGUUGGAAACGACGAAUAAUACCCUAUGAAACUAUCACUUCGCAUGAAGCGAUAGUCAAAGUGUUAGCGGUGUAAGAUGGACUUGCGUCUGAUUAGCUAGUUGGUGAGAAAAAAGCCCACCAAGGCAACGAUCAGUAGCCGGCUUGAGAGAGUGUACGGCCACAUUGGGACUGAGACACGGCCCAGACUCCUACGGGAGGCAGCAGUGGGGAAUUUUGCACAAUGGGGGAAACCCUGAUGCAGCGACGCCGCGUGAUUUAGAAGGCCUUCGGGUUGUAAAAAUCUUUUGUAUAGGAAGAAAAUGACAGUACUAUACGAAUAAGGUCCGGCUAAUUACGUG
rnacentral:rRNA from 1 species